ACUUUUCCUGAGGUAGCGGAUGUGGAAGGCGUGGUUCCUGCGUCGCUCUCCGGGCACCCAGCUCAGGUUGAGUAAUGUGUUACCGGAAACAAUGGAGAUGUUGGAUGGAGGAACUGAAAGGACACAAACACAGUUUUGGAGAAAGGAAGGGGUACAGGAAUGAGGAAUUUAUGAAAGCUGGGUGGCGCCCCUCCGUGUGAUGGCGGGUCCAUCUCCAGCGCUGGUGCGUGCUAUGACUUUGAAGAUGUAAUAGCUGCUGGGGUCCAGAUUGUCCAACUCAAUUUGAGUCACACUGGGAUCGUUGAUACUCUCUAUCUGCAACAGGCUGUCUCUGGUCUCCACUUCUACAGAGGAAACACCAACCAGGAAGAUGUCAGCAGUGGUGGGAUGACACCUGUGGCUUCCUACUCACCUGCAGCAGAUUCUACAAUCACCUCUCCUGUCUUAAACCCCGGCUUUCCAACCAGUUUCUGCCAGAUCGUCCGUUUACCCAAAUACCCGCUUCAGUUCUGGAAGAACCAAGUUGUUUUUUGGACCAGCCUCUUGCCUGUCUGCCCACUCAGCCCCAGCCUCACAGAGGAUUUCAAAGCACCACUCCUACCUGUUGUUCUAUAAAACCCCUGUACCUGUUUUUAACCGUGCCUCUGUGUCCACUCCUGAAUCCUAGACAGCCCGGCCUAACAAUAACUCGAUGUUGCUCGAUACCCUAAUUGCUCUAAGUGCAGAAUUCGUUUUUUUGCAUCUAACUAUCUGGUCAGAGCCCUGGAUAUUAAUAAGGUGGUGGUCAGUUUAACGCAGCUCACUCUGUUACUCUGUGUUUAUGGCUGUUUAAUGAAUAGUGCAAACAUUUGUCAGAGGCUGAUCACUGCUUUGGUGAUCAGUUUAGGGGGACCAUAUUGUAUGAGCUUCAGCACGCACCAUGGCUGUGGUGCAUUGUUGAUGAUGUUAUAUCAGGUUAGGUAAUAAUGAGUGGGACAGAUAAAUGAUAAAUGUCUAUGUAAGUGCACAUUUAAUAUUAUAAUCUUUGUUUGUCUGUGGUGAAAACCUGGACAGUUUGGUAGUGAAUGUUGAAAACAGGGAUAUUUCAUUAUUAGUGACUCUCACUUAUAAUGGAGUACUUAUAUAUAUUGUACUUU